GCAAAAUAGUAACUGAGAGCUCCCUCAAGGGAAAGCAAGGACACUGAAUGGGUCAGGCUCCAAUUUCAACCCCUUCUUAUGGAGCUCAUCUUACGUUUAUAGACCAACCCAAAUCCCAGCAUUGGAAAAGCUGUAGGCCCUCUGCUUUUGACAAGGGGCGCUGGUGGGUUAAGGGAGAUCAGACAACAAAAUCCAUAUUGUGGGAGCCUUGUCCCCAGUCAGGAACAGACAGGAGGAAGAAUCUGCCAGUGUCUGAACCUGGGGAGAGGAAAGAAUCUGCUUCAAGCCCUGUCAAAAGUCACACUGCCCCAGCUUUUGCAAGAACAAACCAGGAUGGAGAGGCCAUCGGGGAAGAAAUAAAGAUAACAGCAACAAAGAAGAUUUGGAAGAGAAAACAAGCUGCCCUUAUUGCUCCAGCUUUUAUUCAAGAUUCCCCCCUUUUUUUGGGUUGGGGAUAUGGAGAGAGUUUUAAUCACAUUUUUAUCUGUUGUGGUUGUACUAAUUAGGAUCUAAACACAGAACAUAUUCAGGAUCCAAAAACGGGAUGUGUAAUAUUGAAUAAUGGCUAUCUCCUUUCUACCUUGUUGUUCCAAUCUUUGUACCAAUCUAAGGUGGAGGAGCUAGGUGGGACAGUGAAUAGAGCACAGGGCUUGAAAUCAGGAAGAUUCAUUUUCAUGAAUUCAAACUAGGAUCUAAAUACAGCACAUAUUCAGG
rnacentral:lncRNA from 1 species